ensembl:lncRNA
ACUUCUGCCAAGGUCUACAGAAAUCCUGGAGCACUUUGCCUACAGACAGACAACAGCUUUGUCCUGGCCGGUGGCCUAGGUCUUCUGUCUUUGGUACUUAAUCUAUUGACUUGUUGCUCUAUGAAAGUAACAUAUUUUGAUAAUUCUCUGCUGUACUGCUGUUAAGUCUCAUUUUUAAGAAGAGGAACUGAAGGAAGAAACUGAAGGACACAGCAGCUUAUCGUAAUACACCAGCAGUACCACCAGGAAGAUGAGGCCAGCCCAUGUUUCUGCAACUGGAGUUUUUUAAUGGAAAAACCAUCUUCAAAUGGAAAGAAAUAGAGAAGUCUUUAAUCAUCACACAAAAUUGUUAUUCAGGAUAGUGGGAAUUUUAAGAAACAAAAAUCAGCUUCUGCUACUCUGCUUACUAUUUUGUGCAUUAUCUGAUAUUUUACUGCUCCAAAACUAGGGACUUCAUAAUAUGGCCAUAAGAAAUUCUGAAUAAAAGAGAUUUUUGAAUCAAGGAUAUUUAGAAGAAAAGUGCAGCAACUCAGAAAAUAUGGAAUUAAAAAUUAAGGAAGACUAUUGCAGAAACAGGUAGGAGCGCCGUGCAGAGAAGAGACGGCAUAGGAUUGCAACUUGUACUAUAGCUCAAUGAGUUGGGUAAUGGAGCUGCUUGAGCCACAGCAGGAAGGCCACUCAAAGGAAAUUUUGCUGGAUAGACCGAGAGACAUCUCCUGCCACACACACUAUGAAAGGAUGACAUUUUUCUCCUGGUGGAAAGGUUUGGCAUAACUUUGAAAGGAAUUAGGUUGAUAUGCAAAGCGUGAGAUUCUAAAAAAGUGAGAAUUCACUACUUACACCAUCAGCCAGAGCAUACUUGACAAACAAACCCUAUGAGGGAGUAUAAAUACUGCCCUGUGUAGGACAAAGCUGAAAUGUUACUUGGGAAUAGCCAAGAUGCUUGUACCUGGAGUCAAGAGGAACAUCAACAAAGACACUGCAUCAAUUUUCUUCUUGGCUUUGCUAGCUUCUGCAAACAUGAGUUAAAGCACCAGAUACGGGCAGUGGGUGAAUGCUACUUGCACAAGGACAAACCCUACCAUGAGCUGAACCAGCUCUGCUAUUUGCUCAGCUUGAGACACCAGAGAGUUAAAAACAACGACAGUAUCACCUCAAAGCACAUCACUAUCUACCAGUCUUCCUCAUUUGCAUGUUGGGCAUCAGGACAAUCAACAGUCCUUUUAAAGAAAGCUUAUAAUGCAAAAAGACAUUUUCCAAUCCAACUUUCUUUUCAGACUAAAAUGGUUUUUAAUUGCAGUAAUCAGUGGGUUAUCCAUGAACAUACAGUGAUGUAAACAAUAUCUGAGAUUGCUGUAAGAUAAUUUCCAGAGCUAAAGCAGCCUCACCACUGUGCCCAGAUCCUCUAUGUAGAACCAUGUUGUAGAACCAGUCAACAUGGCAUACCCAUGGAAGUCCAUGCCUAUGUUAUACCCAGACUUCCUGAAACUUAUGUUAAUAUUUCAGUUCAUCCUGACCACCUGCAUUCUAAGUCUAUUCACAUUGCAUUUAUGGUAAAAUGCAGCUAAGGCAAGGAUGAGAAUAGCUGGGACUUGUAGAGCACGUGUGGUUUUGGAUGUCAGUGAAGAUAUUUGUCAUUGGGAGCCAAUGAUGUGCUAAAAGACCUCUGUUGCUACUAUUUGGCAAAUAUCUCAUAGAAACAGCUAAAACUAUGAUCCUUUCCCUCAAAAAGUGAUGGUCCAAAGGGAUGUCCCCAAGAUGGUGUACACAUUUGCAUUAUGGAGAGCGGACAGGAAAGGGGAAACAUGGAGAUACCUUCCAAGGCCCUUACAGUAUAUUUUAACCAAAAUUUGAUAAAAGGCUGGCGAUGGGGGUAUUUUGUAUAGCUUGGGGAAGGGAAGGCUGCUUUCUCUGAUACUGUAGGAGAACUCCAACUAUGCAGAGGGGGUGGCUUAGCACAGCAGGGCUGGGAGAAAGACUGAAGCAGAGGAACAGCCUGGGAAAUGGCAUCAUAGAGAGACAGGGAGUUGCUGUCAUCUGCAGCUGCUUUGGUGAGAAGAGGGGGAGGUUACUUCCAGGAGAAAUUCUGACCUGCCUGUGGAAGCUCAGAGAUGAUUUCUUCAGCUGCAACUUUUAUUAAGAUACCAUUCCCCCAUAAAUCUAGACAAAGUAAGCUUUUUACAGCACAGAACUAGCGAAGCCACCUCUCUCACUGAAACAAACCACUGUGCUGCUCCUCAGCCACUUUCCAUCCCUUCUCCAUCCCUGUCGCAUACUCCCUGCCCCAGCUCCACACCAGCAAUUCUGGAUGACGCUCACCUCCCUGGUAGCAUCUUUCUGAUGGCAAGACAGACAGAGAGGACUUCUUCCAGCAAAACUGCCCCCUGCAAGCAGUGCUUGUGUUAAGGUCAUUUUCAUUUCCUAGGUCCUCCUAGACUAGGAAAAGGAAGAGGGGCCAUGGGUAAUUUGGAAGACGUCAGUCCCUCAGAGAUGUUUCCUUACUCAGUUUGAAGGAUGGAUCCAGGGAGGGUGUGAAUGUGUUUCGAAGGCACUGCAGCAAGGACAUUGUGUAUGCAAGGAAGCGGAUACCCCCACAGGAUCCCUGGCUGUUCUCUGAGAUCACUGCAACCAAAGGCGGACAUCUCUGUAAAUGAUCUGAGCAACACUCAUAAGAUCUGACUUAGCCUUAUUUUUUCUUAUCUGCUGCUUUUUUAUCCCACCCAUAGCUCAAACUAUUUCCAUGUUCCGAUAAACUGCUCCACCCACAUUUCAAAGGGACCUGUGAACUGACACAAGUGAGGGAGCGAGGCUGAGGCUGCCCAGGCUGCAGGAAGGCUCUGAAUUCCAGGUCUGUUCUGUUUGAGCAUAUGGUUCAGAUCCAGAAAUGAGAAAACCAAGAGCAGGUUCCCAGACUUGCCUUGGCUUUGGCUUCUGCAGCCCUUUGCUCUCUGCAAGCCAUGGGACAUGGGGAAUUGUGGCUGAUGCUCUGUUUUAGCCAUCCAGUGCAGCAAGCAGCAGUCCUCAUGGUUUGUUUUCCUGUUUGUCGAAACCCCAACCACCUGGAUUUCUGAAAGCUCUUCUGAAAGGACUUUGACAAAUGCCUUUUUGCGUGGGGGUCAUUUCAUAUUCUGUGGGCACCACCACAUACAAAGACAAGUACUUUCUUGGUCAUUAAUCUUUAUUAAAUUCUCUCACAAAAGGAUUUGCCUUCUUCUCACCACAUUUCUUCUGCAGUGUGACCUCACUUUGGAUUACUCAUGGAGCCAGAUGCACUGUGCACAAUUUGGCUUUAUGCAGAGUGUCAUUUCCCCACGUUCUCUAUCUGCACCCAAGCUCGUGAUACAGCGCAACACUACCCAUCACUUCAAACAGGAGCAAACCACAUCUCUGCCUUUGUGGAGACUCAUUCUGCUCUGAAAGGUCACUGUGUACAGAACAGAACAUUUCACACAAUAGAAACCCCGCACUGAUUUUGGUGAUGGUGAUGACACUCCCAAUUCCCAUUAAGCUUGCACAGGUGGUGGCAAUGAGACCUGGCUGUGAACCUCUCCCCAGUGUCAACCUGGAGUAAGGAAAUACUGCAUCCAGGCCUGGUGCCCCUAAUACAAGAAAGACACAGAGCUCUUGGAACCAGUCCAGAGGAGGACCACUAAGAUGGUCAGAGGGCUGGAGCACCUCUCCUAUGAAGAAAGGUUGAGGGAACUGGACUUGUUUAGCUUAGAGAAGAGAAGGCUGCAGGGAGACCUCAUUGUGGCCUUCCAGUACUUGAAAGGAACGUAUAAACAGGAGGGGGAACAGCUGAUUACAAGGGUGGAUGGUGACAGGACAAGAGGGAAUGGUCUUAAACUGAGACAGGGGAGGUUUAGGUUGGAUAUGAGGAGGAAGUUUUUCCCCCAGAGGGUGGUGAUGCACUGAACAGGUUGCCCAAGGAGGCUGUGGAUGCCCCAUCCCUGCAGGCAUUCAAGGCCAGGCUGGAUGUGGCUCUGGGCAGCCUGGUCUGCUGGUUGGUGACCCUGCACAUAGCAGGGGGUUGGAACUGGAUGAGCUUUGUGGUCCUUUUCAACCCAGGCCAUUCUAUGAUUCUAUGAUUGUAUGAUUCUACGAUUCCAUGAUUGUAUGAACCUGGUCCUACUGCUUUGAGAGCUGUGUCCAGUGUUAGACACACUGCCUUUGUCUGGGCUGCAGAUGCUUCAAAUAAAGAUGAAAAAG